UACAGAGGUCUCAAGCGUUGUUCGGAUUCAUUGGGCGUAAAGGGUGCGUAGGCGGCGCGGUACGUCGGAUGUGAAAUCUCGGGGCUUAACUCCGAAACUGCAUUCGAUACUGCCGUGCUUGAGGACUGGAGAGGAGACUGGAAUUUACGGUGUAGCGGUGAAAUGCGUAGAUAUCGUAAGGAAGACCAGUGGCGAAGGCGGGUCUCUGGACAGUUCCUGACGCUGAGGCACGAAGGCCAGGGGAGCAAACGGG
rnacentral:rRNA from 1 species